rnacentral:rRNA from 1 species
UGAUUAAGUAAGGAAGGGCGUACGGAGGAUGCCUUGCCACUCGAAACUGAAGAAGGACGUGCCAAACUGCGAAAUGCGGCGGUGAGCUGUAAGGAAGCGAAGACCCGCCGAUCUCCGAAUGGGGGAACCCGGCCGGCCACACAGCCGGUCACCGCACGGUGAACACAUAGCCGUGCAGGGAGGUACCCGGUGAACUGAAACAUCUAAGUAACCGGAGGAAAAGAAAACAACAGUGAUUCCCUGAGUAGCGGCGAGCGAAAGGGGAGAAGCCCAAACCGGUCUGAGGACCGGGGUUGAAGGACCGCGGGAUGACAAGAAGGAGCAUAGACGAACGCGAUUGAAAGCGCGACCGAAGAAGGUGCAAGUCCUGUAGUCGAAAUGGUCCGGAAGUCUAGCGGGAUCCUGAGUACGGCGAGACACGAGGAAUCUUGUCGGAAGCAGGCGGGACCAUCCGCCAAGGCUAAAUAUAAACGAGUGAGCGAUAGUGAACCAGUACCGUGAGGGAAAGGUGAAAAGAACCGCGGGAGCGGAGUGAAAGAGAACCUGAAACCGUAUGCCUACAAGAAGUCAGAGCCCGUUAAAGGGUGAUGGCGUGCCUUUUGUAGAAUGAACCGGCGAGUUACGGAAAGAUGCGAGGUUAAGUCGGAAAGGACGGAGCCGCAGCGAAAGCGAGUCUGAAGAGGGCGAGAGUAGACUUCCGUAGACCCGAAACCGGGUGAUCUAGCCAUGAGCAGGUUGAAGUUGAGGUGAAACUCAAUGGAGGACCGAACCGACCACCGUUGAAAAGUUGGCGGAUGACUUGUGGCUAGCGGAGAAAUUCCAAUCGAACCCGGAGAUAGCUGGUUCUCCCCGAAAUAGCUUUAGGGCUAGCGUCGGAAUGAACCCAUGUGAAGGUAGAGCACUGAAUGUGUGAUGGCCCCAUCCCGGGGUACUGAAUACAAUCAAACUCCGAAUGUCAUGUGGGAUGUCCGGCAGUCAGACUGUGAGUGAUAAGGUCCAUGGUCGAGAGGGAAACAGCCCAGACCGCCAGUUAAGGUCCCAAAAUGCAGGCUAAGUGGAAAAGGAUGUGGGGAUGCCCAGACAACUAGGAGGUUGGCUCAGAAGCAGCCACCCUUUAAAGAGUGCGUAACAGCUCACUAGUCGAGUGACCCUGCGCCGAAAAUGUACCGGGGCUAAGCCUGAUACCGAAACUGCGGAAUCGAAUGAUUGGUAGGGGAGCGUUGUAUACGGGUGGAAGCCGUACCGUGAGGAGCGGUGGACUGUAUAGAAGUGAGAAUGCCGGUGUGAGUAGCGAGAUGUAGGUGAGAAUCCUACACACCGAAAGCCCAAGGAUUCCAGGGGAAGGUUCGUCCGCCCUGGGUAAGUCGGGACCUAACGCGAGGCCGAAAGGCGUAGUGGAUGGAAAGCAGGCGGAGAUUCCUGCACCCGUAUGUGGAGCGAUGGAGUGACGGAGACGGCUAAUGUGACCCUCUUAACGGAUUGAGGGCGAAGCGGGGUAGCGGUCGACCAGGCAAAUCCGGUCGGCAUAACGCGAAGACGUGACAGGGAAGCGAACGCUUUGGCAAGUAGCGAAGCACAUGAGGCCGGCUUCCAAGAAAAGCUUCUGGCAAUGCACAUGCGGCCCGUACCAAAACCGACACAGGUGGGCAGGUAGAGGAUACCAAGGUGAGCGAGAGAACUGUUGCCAAGGAACUCGGCAAAAUGGCUCCGUACGUUCGCAAGAAGGAGCGCUUAUGAAAAUAAGCCGCAGUGAAUAGGCCCAAGCGACUGUUUAACUAAAACACAGCUCUCUGCGAAGUCGCAAGACGAAGUAUAGGGGGUGACACCUGCCCGGUGCCGGAAGGUUAAGAGGAUCUGUCAAUCGCAAGAUGAAGCAGUGAGUUGAAGCCCCGGUGAACGGCGGCCGUAACUAUAACGGUCCUAAGGUAGCGAAAUUCCUUGUCAGGUAAGUUCUGACCCGCACGAAAGGUGUAACGAUUUGGGCGCUGUCUCGGCAGCAGGCUCGGUGAAAUCUUAGUACCUGUGAAAAUGCAGGUUACCCGCAACUAGACGGAAAGACCCCAUGGAGCUUUACUGUAGCCUGGUAUUGGAUUUUGGUCAGACAUGUACAG